GACGUAGGUGGCGAACGUUAUCCGGAUUUACUGGGCGUAAAGGGCGCGUAGGCGGUCUGUUAAGUUCGGUGUGAAAGCCCCCGGCUCACCUGGGGAACUGCGCCGGAAACCGACAGACUCGAGUACCGGAGAGGAGGGUGGAAUUCCUGGUGUAGCGGUGAAAUGCGUAGAUAUCAGGAGGAACACCGGUGGCGAAGGCGGGUCUCUGGGCCGAUACUGACGCUGAGGAGCGAAAGCGUGGGGAGCGAACAGG
rnacentral:rRNA from 1 species